rnacentral:rRNA from 1 species
AGAGUUUGAUCCUGGCUCAGGACGAACGCUGGCGGCGUGCCUAAUACAUGCAAGUCGAGCGGACAGAUGGGAGCUUGCUCCCUGAUGUUAGCGGCGGACGGGUGAGUAACACGUGGGUAACCUGCCUGUAAGACUGGGAUAACUCCGGGAAACCGGGGCUAAUACCGGAUGCUUGUUUGAACCGCAUGGUUCAAACAUAAAAGGUGGCUUCGGCUACCACUUACAGAUGGACCCGCGGCGCAUUAGCUAGUUGGUGAGGUAACGGCUCACCAAGGCAACGAUGCGUAGCCGACCUGAGAGGGUGAUCGGCCACACUGGGACUGAGACACGGCCCAGACUCCUACGGGAGGCAGCAGUAGGGAAUCUUCCGCAAUGGACGAAAGUCUGACGGAGCAACGCCGCGUGAGUGAUGAAGGUUUUCGGAUCGUAAAGCUCUGUUGUUAGGGAAGAACAAGUACCGUUCAAAUAGGGCGGUACCUUGACGGUACCUAACCAGAAAGCCACGGCUAACUACGUGCCAGCAGCCGCGGUAAUACGUAGGUGGCAAGCGUUGUCCGGAAUUAUUGGGCGUAAAGGGCUCGCAGGCGGUUCCUUAAGUCUGAUGUGAAAGCCCCCGGCUCAACCGGGGAGGGUCAUUGGAAACUGGGGAACUUGAGUGCAGAAGAGGAGAGUGGAAUUCCACGUGUAGCGGUGAAAUGCGUAGAGAUGUGGAGGAACACCAGUGGCGAAGGCGACUCUCUGGUCUGUAACUGACGCUGAGGAGCGAAAGCGUGGGGAGCGAACAGGAUUAGAUACCCUGGUAGUCCACGCCGUAAACGAUGAGUGCUAAGUGUUAGGGGGUUUCCGCCCCUUAGUGCUGCAGCUAACGCAUUAAGCACUCCGCCUGGGGAGUACGGUCGCAAGACUGAAACUCAAAGGAAUUGACGGGGGCCCGCACAAGCGGUGGAGCAUGUGGUUUAAUUCGAAGCAACGCGAAGAACCUUACCAGGUCUUGACAUCCUCUGACAAUCCUAGAGAUAGGACGUCCCCUUCGGGGGCAGAGUGACAGGUGGUGCAUGGUUGUCGUCAGCUCGUGUCGUGAGAUGUUGGGUUAAGUCCCGCAACGAGCGCAACCCUUGAUCUUAGUUGCCAGCAUUCAGUUGGGCACUCUAAGGUGACUGCCGGUGACAAACCGGAGGAAGGUGGGGAUGACGUCAAAUCAUCAUGCCCCUUAUGACCUGGGCUACACACGUGCUACAAUGGACAGAACAAAGGGCAGCGAAACCGCGAGGUUAAGCCAAUCCCACAAAUCUGUUCUCAGUUCGGAUCGCAGUCUGCAACUCGACUGCGUGAAGUCGGAAUCGCUAGUAAUCGCGGAUCAGAAUGUCGCGGUGAAUACGUUCCCGGGUCUUGUACACACCGCCCGUCACACCAUGGGAGUGGGUUUCACCAGAAGUAGGUAGCCUAACCGUAAGGAGGGCGCUUACCACGGUGGGAUUCAUGACUGGGGUGAAGUCGUAACAAGGUAACC